rnacentral:rRNA from 1 species
UACGGGGGGGGGCAAGCGUUGUUCGGAAUUACUGGGCGUAAAGGGUUCGUAGGUGGCCAACUAAGUCAGACGUGAAAUCCCUCAGCUUAACUGGGGGAACUGCGUCUGAUACUGGUGUGGCUUGAGUGCAGGAGAGGAACGCGGAAUUCCAGGUGUAGCGGUGAAAUGCGUAGAUAUCUGGAGGAACACCGGUGGCGAAGGCGGCAUCCUGGACCGGUAUUGACGCUGAGGCGCGAAAAGCUAGGGGAGCAAACGGG